rnacentral:tmRNA from 1 species
GGGGGCGUACUGGUUUCGACGGGGUCGUUGAGAUCAGGGAAGCGGGUAGAGGAUCCUCGUUGGCCUCUUGAAAAAACGAGGAAACAAUUAAUUGCCAAUAAACCGGCACUCGUAGCUGCGUAAUUAAGCUACCGUCAGUCCAUCCGAUCUGCUGGAUGGGGUUCUGACGUCAGAUAGCAGACCUUACCCGGCGGCAGGUUAAACGGGUAAACAGAGCGGGGAUUGCCUGGCCCCCGUUCUGAACAACAGGCUACCGGACCGUCAAUGCCUGUCCGUAGGCGCGACGCGAGGGGAAUACUCUAAAUACGGACUGCACCCGGAGAUGCUCUGAAGGAUAGGAUUUCGGACAGGGGUUCGACUCCCCUCGCCUCCACCA